GGUUAAAAAGCUCGUAGUUGGAUCUCGGCAAGUAGAGGGCGGUAUGCUUCGUAGCAUUACUGCCCUAUUACUUGUAGUUUUGCCAGAGGUUCCUGGGUGCUCUUAAUCGAGUGUCUAGGGAUGCUGGCAGGUUUACUUUGAAAAAAUUAGAGUGCUCAAAGCAGGCUAUUACGCUUGAAUAUUCGUGCAUGGAAUAAUAGAAUAGGAAGUUGUUUCUAUUUUGUUGGUUUUCGGAAAUCGACUUAAUGAUUAAUAGGGACAGUCGGGGGCAUUUGUAUUCAAACGACAGAGGUGAAAUUCUUGGACCGUUUGAAGACAAACUACUGCGAAAGCAUUUGCCAAGAAUGUUUUCAUUAAUCAAGAACGAAAGUUAGAGGUUCGAAGGCGAUUAGAUACCGCCCUAGUUCUAACCAUAAACGAUGCCAGCUAGCGAUCUGAGGACGUUUUUUUUGUAGACUCCUCAGGAAGCUUCCGGGAAACCAAAGCGUGUGGGUUCCGGGGGAAGUAUGGUUGCAAAGCUGAAACUUAAAGGAAUUGACGGAAGGGCACCACCAGGAGUGGAGCCUGCGGCUUAAUUUGACUCAACACGGGAAAUCUCACCAGGCCCGGACACUGGAAGGAUUGACAGAUUGAGAGCUCUUUCUCGAUUCGGUGGGUGGUGGUGCA
rnacentral:rRNA from 1 species